rnacentral:rRNA from 1 species
ACAAGCGGUGGAGUAUGUGGUUUAAUUCGACGCAACGCGAAGAACCUUACCAGCUCUUGACAUGUCCAUUAUGGGUCUGAGAGAUCAGAUCCUUCGGUUCGGCCGGGUGGAACACAGGUGCUGCAUGGCUGUCGUCAGCUCGUGUCGUGAGAUGUUGGGUUAAGUCCCGCAACGAGCGCAACCCUCACCUUUAGUUGCUACCAGGUUAUGCUGGGCACUCUAGAGGAACCGCCGGUGAUAAGCCGGAGGAAGGCGGGAUGACGUCAAGUCCUCAUGGCCCUUACGGGCUGGGCUACACACGUACUACAAUGGUGGUGACAGUGGGAUGCGAAAGCGCGAGCUGGAGCGAAUCCCCAAAAGCCAUCUCAGUUCGGAUUGCACUCUGCAACUCGAGUGCAUGAAGUUGGAAUCGCUAGUAAUCGUGGAUCAGAAUGCCACGGUGAAUACGUUCCCGGGCCUU